rnacentral:rRNA from 1 species
CAUGCAGUCGAGCGAUUUACUUCGGUAAGAGCGGCGGACGGGUGAGUAACGCGUGGGUAACCUGCCUCAUACACAUGGAUAACAUACCGAAAGGUAUGCUAAUACAGGAUAAUAUAAGAGAUUCACAUGGAUUUUUUAUCAAAGCUCCGGCGGUAUGAGAUGGACCCGCGUCUGAUUAGCUAGUUGGUAAGGUAAUGGCUUACCAAGGCGACGAUCAGUAGCCGACCUGAGAGGGUGAUCGGCCACAUUGGAACUGAGACACGGUCCAAACUCCUACGGGAGGCAGCAGUGGGGAAUAUUGCACAAUGGGCGAAAGCCUGAUGCAGCAACGCCGCGUGAGUGAUGAAGGCCUUCGGGUCGUAAAACUCUGUCCUCAAGGAAGAUAAUGACGGUACUUGAGGAGGAAGCCCCGGCUAACUACGUGCCAGCAGCCGCGGUAAUACGUAGGGGGCUAGCGUUAUCCGGAUUUACUGGGCGUAAAGGGUGCGUAGGUGGUUUUUUAAGUCAGGAGUGAAAAGGCUACGGCUCAACCGUAGUAAGCUCUUGAAACUGGAAAACUUGAGUGCAGGAGAGGAAAGUGGAAUUCCUAGUGUAGCGGUGAAAUGCGUAGAUAUUAGGAGGAACACCAGUAGCGAAGGCGGCUUUCUGGACUGUAACUGACACUGAGGCACGAAAGCGGGGGGGGAGCAAACAGGAUUAAAAUACCCUGGUAGUCCACCGCCGUAACGAUGGAGUA